CUUUAUCUCCACAAGUUCAAUUAUUUUGAUUUUUGGCUCCCACAAGUAAGUGAGAACAUGCAAAAUUUGUCUUUCUGUGCCUGGCUUAUCUCACUUAACAUAAUGACCUCCAGUUCCAUCAUGUUGUUGCAAAUGACAGGAUCUCAUUCCUUUUGUGACUGAACAGUACUCUACUAUGUGUAUGUAUCACAUUUUCUUCAUCUACUCAUCUGAUGAUGAAUACUUAGGUUGCUUCCAAAUCUUAGCUAUUGUGAACAGUGCAGCAACAAACACAGGAGUGCACAUAUCUCUUCAAUAUACUGCUUUCCCUUCUUCUGGGCAGAUACCUAGGAGUGGGACUGCUGGGUUGUAUGGUAGCUCUAUUUUUAGUUUUUUGAGGAAUCUCCAAACUGUUCUCCAUAGUGGUAGUACUAAUUACAUUCCAACUAGCAGUGUAGGAGCCUUCACUAUGCUCCACAUCCUCGCCAGCAUCAUUACUUGUCUUUUGGAUAUAAGCCAUUUUAACUGGGGUGAGAUGGUAUCUCACUGAAGUUUUGAUUUGCAUUUCUCUGAUGAUCAAUGAUGCUGAGUAUUUUUCAUAUACUUGUUUGCCAUUUAUAUGCCUUCUUUUGACAAAUGUCUGUUCAGGUCUUCUGCCUAUUUUUAAUUGGAUUAUUAGUUUUUUUCCUACAGAGUUGUUUGAAUUCCUUACAUAUUCUGAUUAUUAAUCUCUUAUCAGAUGGUUAGUUUGCAAAUAUUUUCUCCCUUCUGUGGGUUUAACUACAUAUUUUAAUACAACAUAAUGGUUCUCUUUGUCAGAUGAAAUGUUGAGCUGGUUGGCUCCUGUCACAUGGUAUAGAGCAGAGUCCAUUUGCAAUACACAAGAAGAGAAGCAUAACAUCAACCUGGUGACAAAUAGAGAUUGUGUGUUUACUACAGUCUGAAGAAACUUUGUCCUGUGAGUAUAUUAGAGUCUAAUGAGGGCAAUAAAUAAAUAGCAAUACUCAAAACAGCCACAUGGUCCUGAAGGAUGACUGAAUGAGGAGUAUAACUAUAGACACCUAAUGGACACUGGGAGACAAUGCUCUACUUUAAUAUUGAUUCCACCAGGUGAAAUUUACUGGGUUGAGUAUUGUCUUGCAUCUUUUGAUCCCUUCAACUGUGUUGAUCAAAGUUCUUGUAUGUGGAAUCCUGACCUAAUCCAUCUACAGAAUAAAAAAGUUCUUUU
ensembl:lncRNA novel transcript, antisense to TTLL5